CGUCCCCAUGCGCUCAGCUGGGAGGGGGCGCCGCGUCCUCGUCCCCGCGCGGCCGCUUGCAGGUGAGCAUGAGCAGCAGCAGCAGCGGCAGGUGCCACAGGCUGCAGAAGAACAGUCUCCGCGAGCUCCUGCGGUCUGCGUCCACGUAGAAGCGGAAGCCGAGGAAGAGAGAGGGCAUCACAAUUUCUUCGGUGCUCAAGGCCCCUUGGAAUUCUUAAUGUGACCUCGUAGCCACCACAAAAACCGCGAAAUGAUCCAGACACCACAGAGGGGAAAAGGAACUUCCGACAUGCUGCAUUUCCUUGCUCGGGGGAGCCCUGUGACCCACGGGCUGCCUCGAAUGCACAGUGUUUUCUAUAUCUACCAAUCUGUAAAUAUCUCCCCUCCAAACCAGAUGGUUAGCUGGGCCUUCAAUACACGAGGCUGCAGGAUUUCCAUUUCAAAUCUUUGCCCAGCUGCUUCCUCUCCAUCUUGACUACCAUCUACUGAGCCCCAGGAAGGGCUUUUGCAAAAGUAUCCACAGUCAAGGUGACUGGGUGACUAAAGGUUGGUGCUGGCUAUUUGAUGUCCUGGCUCAUAAGGGAGUAUGUUCAGCGCAACCUGCCUCCCUUCAAACACGUAUCCUUCAUCCAUUUCCCCACUUGGAGGGUCACUGGUGGUAACAAGCUGUUUCUUCAAUGGAUGAUCAGAUUGACGCUUCACUACUUAAGAGGCAAAAUGUUAAAUUAACUAGGUAGGGCAAAGAGAGUGUGGGGGGGGCAGGUCUAGGGUAGGUGGAGCUCUAGUGCAGAGAGAAGGAAGUGGAGGAGAGGAAGUAGGAGGUGAGAGGAGGCACACAGGCUUGGAAGGACAAUAAAGGCAGGCUUCUGCAAUGUACUGACUUUCCAAUACCUCGGAGAACCUGCAGCACACUGUUAAAUGAUCCUGAAAGUAUGGCCCUGCUGUUAGGCUGCCUCAAGCUCCAGUGGGGCUUUCUCACCACUGAAUGAAGUAUGAGUUCCUCUA